CCCGGGUCGGGGUGAUCGGGCUGAGCUGGGGGAUGGGAGGGCGUCAUUCAUUCAUUCCACGCGUGCCUGCAUUUGCGCUGCUGUUAGGCACCGUUCUAGGCACAGGAGAUGGCCAUGAACAAGCCAGGGGUCAAGUGCAGCCCUGCCCUGGAAUGACUGCUGCUGGGUGGGAAGACGGGCAAGGCUGGGAGUCUGCUGCCCCUCCAGAGCCUUCCUGAGCUGAAUGUACCCAUCCUCUCAACUCACUGCUGCAGAGAAUUCGGCAGCCACCUGUUUCCCACCCAGCCCAGGCCACCAACACCAUCUCAAAUGAGGCCCCAUCUGGAGGAAGUGGGUUGAGAGCUUCAAUCCCUUGGGCUGAGCCCCUGUGAGCACCCAAGCCCCACAUCAAGAGGGUUUUACACUCCACCCCACCCCUCCCUGAACACCUGGGUCCCAAGGAAGAGGUUUCACCUCGGUUCCUUGGACCUGGAACCCACGAGUGGACUCAGAAGACAGAGAGAGUCGUGGGAAAGACUGCCCCAAAGAUCUCUUUUGUGCUUUCCUCCUCCCUCUCUGGAUUAAAAGAGCAUGAUAUCAGAA